rnacentral:rRNA from 1 species
GACGAACGCUGGCGGCGUGCCUAAUACAUGCAAGUAGAACGCUGAAGGAGGAGCUUGCCUCUCUGGAUGAGUUGCGAACGGGUGAGUAACGCGUAGGUAACCUGCCUGGUAGUGGGGGAUAACUAUUGGAAACGAUAGCUAAUACCGCAUAAUAGUAGAUGUUGCAUUACAUUUGCUUAAAAGGUUCAAUUGCAUCACUACCAUAUGGACCUGCGUUGUAUUAGCUAGUUGGUGGGGUAACGGCUCACCAAGGCGUGGAUACGUAACCGACCUGAAAGGGGGAGCGGCCUAGCUGGGACGGGGACACGACCCAGCAGACUAGGAGAGGCAGCCGUAGGGGAUCUUCAGCAAUGGACGGAAGUCGGAACGAGCAACGCCGCGUGAGUGAAGAAGGUUUUCAGGUCGUGAAGAGGUGUUGUAAGAGAGGAACGAGAGUGGGAGUGAAAAGUGCACACUGUGACGGUAUCUUACCAGAAAGGGACGGCUAACUACGUG